rfam:Stegodyphus mimosarum contig114769, whole genome shotgun sequence.
GCCUUCUUGGUGUAGUGGUCAGCACACUCGGCGCAUAUUCCAGAGAUCCGUGGUUCGAGUCCCGGCGAAGGCG